rnacentral:rRNA from 1 species
UGGCACUGAGACACGGGCCAGACUCCUACGGGAGGCAGCAGUGGGAAUAUUGCGCAAUGGGCGAAAGCCUGACGCGGCAAUGCCGCGUGAGUGAAGAAGGCUUUCGAGUCGUAAAGCUCUUUAUCUCUGUGAAGAUGAUGACGGUAGCAGAGGAAUAAGCACCGGCUAACUACGUGCCAGCAGCCGCGGUAAUACGUAGGGUGCGAGCGUUGUUCGGAAUUACUGGGCGUAAAGGGUGUGUAGGCGGACCUAUCAGCCAGGGGUGAAAGCCCGGAGCUCAACUCCGGAAUUGCUUUUGGAACUGUAGGUCUAGAGAGGGUCAGAGGUCAGCGGAAUUCCUAGUGUAGAGGUGAAAUUCGUAGAUAUUAGGAGGAACACCGGCGGCGAAAGCGGCUGGCUGGGGCCACUCUGACGCUGAGGCACGAAAGCGUGGGGAGCGAACGGGAUUAGAUACCCCGGUAGUCCACGCCAUAAACGAUGGAUACUAGAUGUAUGGAGGAAUCGACCCCUCUGUGUGUCACAGCUAACGCUGUAAGUAUCCCGCCUGGGGAGUACGGUCGCAAGACUAAAACUCAGAGGAAUUGACGGGGGCCCGCACAAGCGGUGGAACAUGUGGUUUAAUUCGACGCAACGCGAAGAACCUUACCUGGGUUUGACAUCCCCGGACCGUCCUGGAAACAGGAUUUUCUCUUCGGAGACCGGGAGACAGGUGCUGCAUGGCUGUCGUCAGCUCGUGUCGUGAGAUGUUGGGUUAAGUCCCGCAACGAGCGCAACCCUUGUCCUUAGUUGCCACCAGGUAAUGCUGAGCACUCUAGGGAGACUGCCGGUGAUAAGCCGGAGGAAGGUGGGGAUGACGUCAAGUCCUCAUGGCCUUUAUAUCCAGGGCUACACACGUGUUACAAUGGCGACUACAAAGAGCAGCUAUACGGUGACGUGGAGCGAAUCUCAAAAAAAGUCGUCUCAGUUCGGAUUGCAGUCUGCAACUCGACUGCAUGAAGUUGGAAUCGCUAGUAAUCGCGGAUCAGCACGCCGCGGUGAAUACGUUCCCGGGCCUUGUACACACCGCCCGUCACACCAUGGGAGUUGACAGGGGCAGAAGACGUUGAGCUAACCUUCGGGGGGCAGGCGUCCAAGCUCAUGUUGAUGACUAGGGUGAAGUCGGAACAAGGUAGCCGUAGGAGAACCUGCGGCUG